UACGUAGGGUGCAAGCGUUAAUCGGAAUUACUGGGCGUAAAGCGUGCGCAGGCGGUUGUGUAAGACAGAUGUGAAAUCCCCGGGCUCAACCUGGGAACUGGAUUUGUGACUGCACAGCUGGAGUGCGGCAGAGGGGGAUGGAAUUCCGCGUGUAGCAGUGAAAUGCGUAGAUAUGCGGAGGAACACCGAUGGCGAAGGCAAUCCCCUGGGCCUGCACUGACGCUCAUGCACGAAAGCGUGGGGAGCAAACAGG
rnacentral:rRNA from 1 species